GCUCGUAUUCUAUCAGGGGCGACUAGCUGCUAGCCCAGCAAGCAGCACCAGCAUCAUCAUCACCAGCAGCAGCAGCAGCAGCAGCUACAGCACCGGUUUAACAGCAUCAGGGCGGACUAACGUUGUUCGCGCAGAAUCUAAGAAGACAACUAUCAGAAGACUGACACACUAGGGAUGUCACGGCGGUCAAGUAGCGAUAAGACAUUGGGGAACGAAUCCUGCUAGGUAUUCUUCGGAAGACAGAGGAAAGAAAAAAGAAAGAUGGAAAGGAAUGAAUGAAGAUAAGAAAAAAAAGAAAAAAAAUAGGAAAAAAAUAACUGCUGGACAUUUCAUGGUGCAACUUUUGAACAAAAGGGAAACGAGCCUUACAGACAACCAGGCGUCGUCAUACAUUUAACCCUUCUUCUUCUAUCUUUCUCACCCAUAAAGGGAUAGGAAGGUUGCCGACGUUUCAGUUACACUUUUGUUUUCCCAUUCCUGUACUACGUUCCUCCUCUUUACCGAGCCCUAUUUCUCCCUUCUUUUUUUUUUUUGUUUGAAUCUCACGAUCGUCUCCGAGAUGAACUUGAAAUGAAACGGGAUCGUGUCCAGAAGAUCCAGUUUGAACUACAUUACUUUUCAGACAGGUGCCGCCAUUAACAACAUCACGAUUGUAAUAGAAUUGGAAAUUUCCAUUAGAUCCGACUAGAGGUGGUUUUUUCUAGUCGGAAGAUUUUCCAUUCUGCCGAAAAGAAAUAAGGGAAAGUAUUGCGGCAGGUAAAAUAUUAAAUUUUCUAUAGAUUUUAUUUUAGGAAAGUUAUUGUUUGUGCAUGCUGGCACGGUGACGCCAACACCAUGGGGAAUAAGAUAAUUAUUUAUUUUUGGAAAGUUUACCUUUUAAAAAUUGUAUUCAUCAGAAGGAAUUUCUUAUUCAUUUUUAUACAAUGGACGAAAAAGUUAUACAGCGUUUCGUAUUUCAUUGAUGAACAAUCGAAAUUAAAUAAGAGAAUAUUUCGGAUCAACGAAAUGGAAAAAAAUCUCUAUUUAUGAAUGCAAAUGAGUUAGUUAAUCGUCGUUAAUUUUAUUCCUUAUUUUUACGAUAUCGAGAUAAUAUCGAAAAAAAAAAAACAAAAAAAAAUGAACAACAUGCAAUAAAAGUCGAUCUGACGAACGUGUUAUAAGAUGACAAAUAUAAAUUCCCCUACGCAAGAAAAAAGAAAGAUCAAAACAAUAAAAACAACAACAACAAAUAAAUAUGAUGGGAGAAGAUUAAAGAAGAAUUUGAGAAAGAACAGAGGUAUAGAAGCCGACGAUGUUUAAAGGGGUCUAGACACAAUGUUAGAGUCCCGAAUUAGAGGACCCUCGUUCGUGUUCCUUUCUGUUAUACGUUACGGUGCUUCUACGAUAAUUAACGAAAUUAGUCGCAAUUAGAGAGUGGUUUCGGAGGCUGCUUUCGUCUAAGGAUCAAAAAAGACGUGCGUCUAUCCUUCUCAUCGUGCAACAUGCGUUUACGCCAGAUCCCUUAAUGACCGUUCCCUUCCAAGUAGAAAUAGCCACCCUUUAUGGGACCAAACCAUGAGAACUUUUUGGAUCUAUGAAAAAGAAACAGGGAAUAGAAAAUAAUAAUAAUAAUAAUAAUAAUAAUAAUAAGCUAACCAAAAAAAAAAUUCUCAUUUUCUUCGCGUAUAACUCGCAUGAUUGAACCGUCAAGACAAUUUUUCUUAACAUAAUGGGGAAAUGAUCUAAGAAAUGAUCUGUGAAAAGGAUUAUGACGUAAAAGGGAAUACUUUAGAGUUUGGUUUGACAGGAGUUUGGAAAAAAAAAGGAAGAGGGAUUCCUCUCUUGUUGAAGAUCGAAUACUUCGAGCGUGAAAUUUUUCAAAUUUUGGGAAAGUUUGUAAGGUCCAACGUAGAACCUGCUAGAAGAAUCACAAACAAAAAACUGUCCUGCUGAGAUCAAAUCCUUGACAUAUUAACGGUAAACAUUCAAAGGCCAAAAUGAAAAUAAAGACAAAUAGUUAGAUAUAUAAAAAAAUGAAGAGAGAGGGGGGAGGAGGAAAUUAGAAGGGAAACUCACGACAACGCCUGCAUUCUACAAAUGGACCACAUAAAUCGAAAAACGAAAGUUGAAUGGUUCAUGACAAUGAAUCAAUUGUACACCAUUGACCAUUGUCCGUCAUUUGAUACUACUUUUAUUGACCAAUAUCGUACAGUAAGAGAUAACUAUUAACAUCGUAAUUAUUAUUACGAUUACUAUUAGAAUUUGGUUUUAAUAAUGAAACUUUGAACACUUAGAUUUACUUUGAAAAGGGUUGCCUCAUGAAUACACAUUUCCGAUGCAUAAUUACCAAUAAAUAAUCAUUUCCUAUAUCGACGUGAUGAAGCAUAAGAAGAAGAAGAAGAAGAAGAAGAAAAAAAAUUAAACGAUAAUGCCUUGGACAGGGUGUUAAAAUCCGAUAAAGUAUCUAAAUCAUACACUCUUAGAAUAUUUGCGAUGGAAGUUUCAGUUGGCGUGGCUAAGUGAAUUAUGGCGAUGAUGAUUCUUACGAGAAAUGAUACUAAGAAUAGACGAAGGAUAGAUGAUUGAAACCUGUGUGUGCUGCUUCAUCUCGGUCUAUCCUAAACAUAGUAAUGAACGUUAAGGUGGAUACAACGAAAGGUGACGCUUAUUAUCCUGGGACGUUGCGUAAAUAUAAUGCUAUUCGAACGCGUAUAUAGUAUUUGCAUAUAAUGUCGGAGUCGUGUCGAGCGUGUAAUUAACGAACCGGUCCUACCCGGUAAAGACAAUCGAGGCGAAGACUAAUAAAUUCUAAUUAAAAGAAUCCUUUCGUGGAAGGAA
rnacentral:lncRNA from 1 species